UGAAGAGUCCGAGUGAUUUCUUUGGUUGAAAAUACUUUAUUGACCCAUAUGGCAGGAAGACCACUCAGCACAGAGGACUGUUCCCAAAUAGGGAAAAAUGGGAGGCAGCCAGCAGACACGUGCCUUCUCAUAUGAUGGAGUGUGGUGACUCUUCUCUGCUGCUCUGUGUUUACACAGCCAACUCUCAGGCAGGAUUCUCAACUGGACCAUACAAUGUGAACAUGGCAGAGGUACCCUAUUGACCAGGCACGGUGGCUGAUGCCUGUAAUCCCAGCACUUUGGAAGGCCGAG
rnacentral:lncRNA from 10 species